rnacentral:rRNA from 1 species
CUAAAUACUCCUGACUGACCGAUAGUGAACCAGUACCGUGAGGGAAAGGCGAAAAGAACCCCGGCGAGGGGAGUGAAAAAGAACCUGAAACCGUGUACGUACAAGCAGUGGGAGCACGCUUAGGCGUGUGACUGCGUACCUUUUGUAUAAUGGGUCAGCGACUUAUAUUCUGUAGCAAGGUUAACCGAAUAGGGGAGCCGAAGGGAAACCGAGUCUUAACUGGGCGUUAAGUUGCAGGGUAUAGACCCGAAACCCGGUGAUCUAGCCAUGGGCAGGUUGAAGGUUGGGUAACACUAACUGGAGGACCGAACCGACUAAUGUUGAAAAAUUAGCGGAUGACUUGUGGCUGGGGGUGAAAGGCCAAUCAAACCGGGAGAUAGCUGGUUCUCCCCGAAAGCUAUUUAGGUAGCGCCUCGUGAAUUCAUCUCCGGGGGUAGAGCACUGUUUCGGCAAGGGGGUCAUCCCGACUUACCAACCCGAUGCAAACUGCGAAUACCGGAGAAUGUUAUCACGGGAGACACACGGCGGGUGCUAACGUCCGUCGUGAAGAGGGAAACAACCCAGACCGCCAGCUAAGGUCCCAAAGUCAUGGUUAAGUGGGAAACGAUGUGGGAAGGCCCAGACAGCCAGGAUGUUGGCUUAGAAGCAGCCAUCAUUUAAAGAAAGCGUAAUAGCUCACUGGUCGAGUCGGCCUGCGCGGAAGAUGUAACGGGGCUAAACCAUGCACCGAAGCUGCGGCAGCGACGCUGAUGCGUUGUUGGGUAGGGGAGCGUUCUGUAAGCCUGUGAAGGUGUGCUGUGAGGCAUGCUGGAGGUAUCAGAAGUGCGAAUGCUGACAUAAGUAACGAUAAAGCGGGUGAAAAGCCCGCUCGCCGGAAGACCAAGGGUUCCUGUCCAACGUUAAUCGGGGCAGGGUGAGUCGACCCCUAAGGCGAGGCCGAAAGGCGUAGUCGAUGGGAAACAGGUUAAUAUUCCUGUACUUGGUGUUACUGCGAAGGGGGGACGGAGAAGGCUAUGUUGGCCGGGCGACGGUUGUCCCGGUUUAAGCGUGUAGGCUGGUUUUCCAGGCAAAUCCGGAAAAUCAAGGCUGAGGCGUGAUGACGAGGCACUACGGUGCUGAAGCAACAAAUGCCCUGCUUCCAGGAAAAGCCUCUAAGCAUCAGGUAACAUCAAAUCGUACCCCAAACCGACACAGGUGGUCAGGUAGAGAAUACCAAGGCGCUUGAGAGAACUCGGGUGAAGGAACUAGGCAAAAUGGUGCCGUAACUUCGGGAGAAGGCACGCUGAUAUGUAGGUGAAGUCCCUCGCGGAUGGAGCUGAAAUCAGUCGAAGAUACCAGCUGGCUGCAACUGUUUAUUAAAAACACAGCACUGUGCAAACACGAAAGUGGACGUAUACGGUGUGACGCCUGCCCGGUGCCGGAAGGUUAAUUGAUGGGGUCAGCGCAAGCGAAGCUCUUGAUCGAAGCCCCGGUAAACGGCGGCCGUAACUAUAACGGUCCUAAGGUAGCGAAAUUCCUUGUCGGGUAAGUUCCGACCUGCACGAAUGGCGUAAUGAUGGCCAGGCUGUCUCCACCCGAGACUCAGUGAAAUUGAACUCGCUGUGAAGAUGCAGUGUACCCGCGGCAAGACGGAAAGACCCCGUGAACCUUUACUAUAGCUUGACACUGAACAUUGAGCCUUGAUGUGUAGGAUAGGUGGGAGGCUU